rnacentral:lncRNA from 1 species
GGGGUCUCCUUCUCCUUCUCCUUCUCCUUCUCCUUCUUCUGGCCUUCUCCUUCUCCUUCUCCUUCUCCUUCUCCUUCUCCUUCUCCUUCUCCUUCUCCUUCUUCUUCUCCUCCUUCUCCUUCUCCUUCUCCUCCUUCUUCUUCUCCUCCUUCUCCUUCUCAUCCUCCUCCUCUUCCUUUUCCUCCUCCUCCUUAUCCUCAUUUUUAUAUGUCUUAGAUUCCUUUAGACUUAUGAAUCAUUUUGGGAAUUUUUAAAUAUAUGAAAUAACACAGAGAGAACUAUCAAGGACACCAGUCCUAUUGUAAUAGUUGUUAAAAUAUUAAGAAAAAUUUACCAAUACACCAUAGGUGAAGGACUGCUGCACUAGGUGAUUCUGACCAUCCUUUAAGUGUGACCAUUUUAUGUUCUAGCACUAAGGAGUCUCUAUUUUAUAUUCUACCAUCUUUUCCAUGUUGAAUUUUUCUUCCAACUUCUCCUCCAGUUCUGCUAUUCUGUGCUUUAAGGCCAUUCCUAGUCCUGCAAUUCUAUAUCUUGUUAGUCAUUUAAUAAACAUUUGUUAACUACCUACUAUGUGCAGGCACUGUUCUGAGUGUUGAGGAUACAGGCAAGUGUCUGUCCUCAAGGAGCUCCCAGUCUGAUAGGAAAGAUAUGUACAAAUAAGCAAUGGGUAUGCAGACAAUUCACAAGAUGAAGUGGAAAUGAUCAACCAAAGGAAAACACUAGGAUUAAGAGGAAUCGAGAAAGGUUUCCUAUAGAAGGUGGGAUUCUAGAUGGCUUUUGAAUGCAACCGGAGAAGACAGGAGACAGAGAUGAGGAAGGAGAACAUUCCAGGCAUGGAGGACAGCCCUGGAGCUGGGAGUUGGAGUACCUUACUCAUGGACCUGGAGAAGGCCACUGUGGUGGGGCCUAAGACACUGAUAUGAUCACCAUCUUCUAUAGAGGUUGAACCAAGAGAAAGCAAUGAGCACAAUGUGGCGGUUAAAAAGUCUCUGAAACAAUGAUGUCAACGGCAUUUCGUGAUCACCCGAAAGUCUGAAAGGAUUUUAUAGAUAUCAUCGACUCCCAGGGGCUCCAGGGAUACCUGUGACUCAGAGCUGGAGGACUGGCACUUUGACAGGAAAAGGUCGUCUCCGUAUUGGCACUGAGCAGGAAAAGCUGGCAGUGCCAAUCUUUAAAGGGAGUGACGUGCCCUCUGCUAUUCUCUUUUGCUCGUGAUUGCCCCAACUGCAGGGAUGUGGCAGCCAAAAUAUGUGGCCUGCCUGGGUGAGCUUUUGGUAUUUGGUAUUUCUUUCCUAUGUAGGAAAUAAAUAUCUGUCCCAUAUCUGAUUUGCA